AAGAAACUUGUCGAAGCCAUCAGCUUUGCCUGUCUCAAAUGACUGCCCUGAGACCUACACGCAAGAGGUCCUUCCUGUAGGAGCCCAGUGCACAAAGAGACCAGGAAGCCUCUUUCUGUCACCAUCGCUGCCCAGCUAAAAGUGUUUCUGUCAAGUUCACAUCCUCACACCAAGCCCCCAUGGGUGGCAAUAUUCCAUUCCAUUCUGUCAGCACCACAGGUUUCUCUUCUACAAAUGUUGACUGCCCGUGGCACAGGCUCCAACCCAGAAAGUCCUCCAUGGAAGCUCAGCAGAAACGCCCAGUGCAGGAACACUAGCCGUCCCUGACCCUCAGCAGCAGAGGCAAGACAGUGUCUCUGACAGGGCUCUCAAGACCAGAGUCCUAGACUUCACUGCUUCACGACGUUGAUAUCACAAACAGAUUGUAAGCCUGCCAAGAACAUGGUUCUCUCAGCCUUAAGAUGGAGACAGCAGUAAACCAAAGGUGUCAUUGUAAGAUGAAGCCCAAGCAAAUGGAUAAGGUCCUAUAGCACUGUGCCCCGUGCAUAGUGAGUAUUCCUAAGUGUGAACAUUAUGUGGGAUGAUGAUUAUGAUGGUGGUGGUGGUGGUGAUGGUGAUGAUGGUGGUGAUGGUGGUGGUGGUAGUGGUCAUGGUGAUGGUUGUGGUGGUAAAUUCAGGCAUGCAGCUACCCCAACUCCUCCUACAUCACACAUCACAUCCUGCUAAAGCAGUGAUUCUCAGCCUUCCUAAGGUUUCAACCCAUUAUGCCAGCUCUUCCUGUUGUGGUGACCACCAACUAUAAAAUUAUUCUGUUGCUACUUCAUAACAGUAAUUUCACUACUGUUAUGAUCUGGAAUCUCUGACAUGCAGGAUAUCUGAUAUCUAACCCCCAAAGGGGUCAUGACCCACAGGUUGAGAACCGCUGAUCUAGUGCUAAAGGGCUAAAGAACCAGUCUGAGGAGUGUGCCCUGUACUUUUGUGGUCAGCUGAACAGAAAUCAGUUGCCACAGCAGAAGCUAAAUGAGCUCCCAGUAAAGAAUCUAAGAACAGCCCCAUCUCCUCUCCUUCCUUCCCACCCAACACCAUCGGUGAACUUAACUACUUAUUCUUAUAUUACAUCAUCAGGACUGGUAGAUAUCUGUGAUCUAGGGAUUGAAACUUGGCCACACAUGGGAUAAGGAACUCCAGAAUUCAUUCAGCACGUGGAAUUGGUACUCUGUGAUGAAGAGAAAUUUUUGCUAGCUCUAAAAAGCUGUUUCUGAUGAGUCAUAAACCUGCUUGUAUAUUCUAACACAUUUGCUAGUGGCAAAAACUAAGCUGACAGAAAAGAUGGUGGUGGGGACAGUUUAAAAGUGCCCCCAAUCCUAAAUACUUCACAAGUUUCACCUUGGUCUUCAAAACCACCCUGUGUGGGAGGGGAUCUUGGUAUCCCAUGUCACAGACAAGGACCCACACAAAAGUGCUAACUGCACCCCAGGAGCAGAGUCAGUGUAACCCUCUCCAGGCACCUGGGCCUUCCUUGACCUCUGGUUAUGCUGCUCCCAGGAGGGAGGGCUCAGCUUUCAGAAAGUGUGUACACUGAAUAAAACAUUUCUCACUACUUAGUUUCUUUACUCAUUGCUGGAACGGAGCGCUUGACAAAGGCACCUUAAAGGGGGAAGGAAUUGCUUUGGAUCACGGUUUGAAGAUAGCGUCCAUGGCUGUAGGAGCCGGAGGCAGCGGCUCUCGGGUCGUCUGCAGUCAGGAAUCACUGAGAGAUGGAAGCUGGUGCUCGGCUUGCUUUCUCCUUGUUAUUCAGUCUGGGCCCCAGCCCACGGGAUGGUUCUGUUCCGUUGGGGUUUAUCUUUCCUGUCAAUGAACCCUGUCUGGAAAUUUCCUCAUAGCAUGGCCAGAAGUUUGUCUCCUAUGUGAUUUUACAGCUUCCCCCUUUGAUAAUAUUAACUACCAUAUGGUUCAUCAGGCAAGUCACCCUGAACACACCCACCUGCCGCAACAUCAAACACAUCUCACCAGCUUCAUAAGAGGCCCCACGUGCCCUUCCAGAUUUUCAGGGGCUUACAGAAGAGAGACUGGGAAGAUGCUGGCUUCAUGACAACACAUGGAAAAGCGUGAUGGUGUGGGGAGAGGGCUGUCACAAGAAAGCAUUUGCUGAUAUAAAUUUAUAAAUUUUCAAAAUGA
rnacentral:lncRNA from 1 species